GGAAUAUUGGACAAUGGGGGGAACCCUGAUCCAGCCAUGCCGCGUGUGUGAAGAAGGCCUUUUGGUUGUAAAGCACUUUAAGCGAGGAGGAGGCUACCUAGAUUAAUACUCUGGGAUAGUGGACGUUACUCGCAGAAUAAGCACCGGCUAACUCUGUGCCAGCAGCCGCGGUAAUACAGAGGGUGCAAGCGUUAAUCGGAUUUACUGGGCGUAAAGCGUGCGUAGGUGGCCAAUUAAGUCAAAUGUGAAAUCCCCGAGCUUAACUUGGGAAUUGCAUUCGAUACUGGUUGGCUAGAGUAUGGGAGAGGAUGGUAGAAUUCCAGGUGUAGCGGUGAAAUGCGUAGAGAUCUGGAGGAAUACCGAUGGCGAAGGCAGCCAUCUGGCCUAAUACUGACACUGAGGUACGAAAGCAUGGGGAGCAAACAGGAUUAGAUACCCUAG
rnacentral:rRNA from 1 species